rnacentral:rRNA from 1 species
GAUGAACGCGAGCGGCAGGGCUAAUACAUGCAAGCCAAGGGCUGUUUGGGGUAGAAAGACAUCAAACAACCGGCGGACGGGUGCGUAACGCGUAUGCAACCUACCCUAUACAGAAGGAUAGCCCUCGGAAACGAGGAUUAAUACACCAUAAGAUUGCUUAGAGGCAUCGUUAAGCAAUUAAAUCCGCAAGGCGGUAUAGGAUGGGCGUGAGUCCGAUUAGCUAGUUGGUGAGGUAACGGCUCACCAAGGCGAUGAUCGGUAGGGGUUCUGAGAGGAAGAUCCCCCCCACGGGCCCUGAGCCUCGGGCCCGACUCCUACUGGAGGCAGCAGUAAGGAAUCUUGGACUAUGGGUGACACCCUGAUCCAGCCAUGCCGCGUGCAGGAAGACGGCCCUAUGGGUUGUAACCUGCUUUUGAGCGCGCGAAAUCAGCUCGAUGCGUCGCUCGCUGAUAGUCCUUUUCGAAUAAGCAUCGGCUACCUUCGUG